CGAGGCUGUUACGGAAUGGCGUGAGUAUUACUUGGAUUAUAAGUUACUUCGAAAAGAACUCAAAAAGAAUAAAGUUUAUUACUCUUUUUAUGAAACUAAACAAGCACAACAGAAUGCAGUUCAGCGAUUUUUCCAAAAAAAACUUCUGCGAGAAAUUUUUGCAGAAAUUGUUGGAGGCUAGGAUAAGGUUCCAUUGUUAUUUGCUAAAAAAAGUGAGAUUGCUCACUUGCAAGAGGAAGAUGAAGCAGAUGAAUAUAGUGCCGAAAACAAGUUUAUUGGACUCUUAAGGGAUUUUUUAUUUCUCUGUUUACUAAUGAUUUUUCAUGGCAAGUUUUUCCAACAUUAGAAAGGAACUAUUAAAAAUUGAAAAAUUUUACUCUGAAAAAGUUAAUUAUUAUUCUGAAACUCUCGAAAUUCUGAAAGAGAAAGCAGAUACCCUAACUACUCAAGGGGAUGAAAAAGGUCUUUAUCACAUCAAGCAGUCUUUUGUGGAGUUAUUUCGUCGUAUUAACCUAUUAGAGGGGUACUCCUUUUUAAAUUACACCGGAUUCAACAAAAUAUUGAAGAAACAUGAUAAACAGAGCAAACUUAAAUUAAAAAAGAUUUUUAUGAACAACUAUAUAUUAGGAGCAGUCUUUGCGGACACUUCCAAUUUAAAGGAACUCCUUGGAAAAGUGGAGGAGAUAUUCUCUACCAUUUUUGAAAAUGGAGACAAGCUAAAAGCACGUCGACAACUUCUUAAAAAACGGGGGGAGUUUAAACUCGACAAAAAAUCUUUUUAUUUUGGGAUGGCUAUAAUGCUUCUGUGCUCACUAAUUCUCUGGGCGACUCUGGGAUUUAUUAAGUGUUUAGAAACUUUAACUCUCCCCGAGGAGAAGUUAUUAUUAGCCACCCUUCGUUGCUACUAUCCCGCCGGGCUGUUGUGCCUCCUGCUAUGGACGGUUGGCUGGACAGCGAUGAUCUGGUCCAAGAAUCGUAUAAAUUACUGCUACAUCUUCGAACUUGACCCUAAAAAUCGGAUGGCGUAUCAUAAUUAUUAUAUCGAGGCGACGAAACUCUCCCUUGUUACAUCGUUAAGUCUGCUUUUAUUUUUAUUGGACAACGGAAAAAAUUUUAAACCUCGCUCGCGAUACUACCCGUUGUUGGUUUUACUCUACAUGUUGUUGAAAUUUGUUAAUCCUCUUAAACGAGACUUUUACUUAUCGCGGUUAUUUAUAAUAAAAAUCCUUUUCAACGUCGUCAUUUCACCGUUUGGGAGGAUUCGGUUUGUGGAUUUUUUUGUAGCUGAUAUCCUGACGAGUCUGGCUAAAGUCUUCACGUCGUUGCUGUCAGUCUUCUGCCUUUUUGGUGCCGGAUUUUUCGAAGGGAGGUGCGAUAUCCCACCCUGGCUAACAGGCCUAGUGGCGGGGCUGCCUUUGUGGUUCAGGUUCGUGCAAUGCCUGCGUCAGUACUACGACACUAAUAAAAAGGUGCCCAGUCUGCUCAAUUCUUUAAAAUACUCUCUUUCGCUGGUGGUAGUGCUUCUCGGAAUAUUUCAUCCCCACUACCUAGAAGCCACCAGCAAGUGGGGCACCUUUCGCAUAAUUUGGGAAGAACUUUCUUCUUUACAUCUUAUUUCACCAUGGAGCUGUAUUCCUACUUUUCUGUUUUGCUUCCAGGUUGAUCGUCUUUGUGUGCAGCACCUUCUACGCCUUCGGGUGGGACGUUUGCAUGGACUGGGACUUGGGAUAUACUAACUCGCGCCCGCCUUACCUUCGCGAAUUGAGACUGUUUUCCGAGACUCGGGUCUACUACACCGCCAUCUUUUUUGAUUUCGUUUUGCGCUUUGUGUGGACGUUAACUCUUCUACCCUCUCUAAAUCCCUUUUGGCUUAAUACGCCCAUAACUAAAGAAUGGUUUACCACUCCGCUCUUUGGUGCUCUGGAAAUCCUCCGGCGCGCUGCUUGGAGCAUAUUUCGUUUGGAGGUUGAACACCUCGGCGGGGGCCCUGAUUCGUACCGUGAGAUCUCAAGCAUCCCUAUAAAAUUUGAUACGGGAACUGACGGCCACGACAUAAAUCGAGAGACUAAUAAGAACACUUUGCUAGCAUUAACAGAAGUUAUCGUCGUGGCCGCCUUGGUCAUUGGUCUAUGCGUUGCUACCUACUUUGUAGAUCGCCUGGAAAGUGAUUCAUCUACUUAACAAUUACUCUUUG